AGUGAACGCUGGCGGCGUGCUUAACACAUGCAAGUCGAACGAGAACGGGCUAUAGCUUGCUAUAGUUGUCAGCUAAGUGGCGCACGGGUGAGUAAUGUAUAGGUAAUAUGCCUCUUACUAAGGGAUAACAAAUGGAAACGUUUGCUAAUACCUUAUACUCCUUAUUAACAGAAGUUAAUAAGGGAAAGAUUUAUUGGUAAGAGAUUAGCCUGUAUUGUAUCAGUUAGUUGGUGGGGUAAUGGCUUACCAAGACUAUGACACAUAACUGGUUUGAGAGGAUGAUCAGUCACACUGGAACUGAGACACGGUCCAGACUCCUACGGGAGGCAGCAGUGGGGAAUAUUGCACAAUGGACGAAAGUCUGAUGCAGCAACGCCGCGUGGAGGAUGACACAUUUCAGUGCGUAAACUCCUUUUAUAUGAGAAGAUAGUGACGGUAUUAUAUGAAUAAGCACCGGCUAACUCCGUGCCAGCAGCCGCGGUAA
rnacentral:rRNA from 1 species